GAUGAACGCUGGCGGCGUGCCUAAUACAUGCAAGUCGAGCGAACGGACGAGAAGCUUGCUUCUCUGAUGUUAGCGGCGGACGGGUGAGUAACACGUGGAUAACCUACCUAUAAGACUGGGAUAACUUCGGGAAACCGGAGCUAAUACCGGAUAAUAUUUUGAACCGCAUGGUUCAAAAGUGAAAGACGGUCUUGCUGUCACUUAUAGAUGGAUCCGCGCUGCAUUAGCUAGUUGGUAAGGUAACGGCUUACCAAGGCAACGAUGCAUAGCCGACCUGAGAGGGUGAUCGGCCACACUGGAACUGAGACACGGUCCAGACUCCUACGGGAGGCAGCAGUAGGGAAUCUUCCGCAAUGGGCGAAAGCCUGACGGAGCAACGCCGCGUGAGUGAUGAAUGUCUUCGGAUCGUAAAACUCUGUUAUUAGGGAAGAACAUAUGCGUAAGUAACUGUGCACAUCUUGACGGUACCUAAUCAGAAAGCCACGGCUAACUACGUG
rnacentral:rRNA from 1 species